UACAGAGGGUGCAAGCGUUAAUCGGAAUUACUGGGCGUAAAGGGCGCGUAGGCGGAUAAUUAAGUUAGAUGUGAAAUCCCUGGGCUUAACCUGGGAACUGCAUUUAAUACUGGUUGUCUAGAGUAGAGUAGAGGGAAGUGGAAUUUCCGGUGUAGCGGUGAAAUGCGUAGAUAUCGGAAAGAACAUCCGUGGCGAAGGCGGCUUUCUGGACUCAGACUGACGCUGAGGCGCGAAAGCGUGGGGAGCGAACAGG
rnacentral:rRNA from 1 species